GGUUAAGCUAGAAAGAGCACACGGAGGAUGCCUAGGCACUAGGAGCCGAAGAAGGACGUGGCGAACGACGAAAUGCCUCGGGGAGCCGUAAGCAGGCUUUGAUCCGGGGAUGUCCGAAUGGGGGAACCCAGCUGUGGUAAUGCGCAGUUACUCUAAAGUGAAUACAUAGCUUUAGUAGAGGCAGACCCAGGGAACUGAAACAUCUAAGUACCUGGAGGAAAAGAAAACAAAAGUGAUUCCGUCAGUAGCGGCGAGCGAAAGCGGAAUAGCCCAAACCAAGGAGCUUGCUCCUUGGGGUUGUAGGACCUCGAUAUGGGGUUAGUUUGGUAGGCGAAGUGAUCUGGAAAGGUCCGGCAUAGAAGGUAAAAGCCCUGUAGCCCAAACCGAACGAAUCCCCUAGAGGUAUCCUGAGUACGGCGGGUCACGUGAAACCCCGUCGGAAUCCGGCAGGACCAUCUGCCAAGGCUAAAUACUCCCUAG
rnacentral:rRNA from 1 species